GUGGGGAAUUUUGGACAAUGGGCGCAAGCCUGAUCCAGCCAUGUCGCGUGCAGGAUGAAGGCCUUCGGGUUGUAAACUGCUUUUGUACGGAACGAAAAGACUCUGGUUAAUACCUGGGGUCCAUGACGGUACCGUAAGAAUAAGCACCGGCUAACUACGUGCCAGCAGCCGCGGUAAUACGUAGGGUGCGAGCGUUAAUCGGAAUUACUGGGCGUAAAGCGUGCGCAGGCGGUGCUGUAAGACAGGCGUGAAAUCCCCGGGCUCAACCUGGGAAUUGCGCUUGUGACUGCAGUGCUGGAGUACGGCAGAGGGGGAUGGAAUUCCGCGUGUAGCAGUGAAAUGCGUAGAUAUGCGGAGGAACACCGAUGGCAAAGGCAGUCCCCUGGGCCUGUACUGACGCUCAUGCACGAAAGCGUGGGGAGCAAACAGGAUUAGAAACCCGUGUAGUCC
rnacentral:rRNA from 1 species